rnacentral:rRNA from 1 species
UACAGAGGUCUCAAGCGUUGUUCGGAUUCAUUGGGCGUAAAGGGUGCGUAGGCGGCGCGGUAAGUCGGGGUGUGAAAUUUCGAGGCUUAACUUCGAAACUGCAUUCGAUACUGCCGUGCUUGAGGACUGGAGAGGAGACUGGAAUUUACGGUGUAGCAGUGAAAUGCGUAGACAUCGUAAGGAAGACCAGUGGCGAAGGCGAGUCUCUGGACAGUUACUGACGCUGAGGCACGAAGGCCAGGGGGAGCAAAACGGGG